GGUGCGAGCGGUCUACUUGAACGCAGUGAUGCCGACCAGCUCCAACCGGGUGCCGCUAAAUCGAACCCCGGUUCGAAUUCCGCACGGCCGUGGCCGCGGAAAGGAGCAGGAGGAACAGGAGGAGGAAGAGGACGAGGACGAGGACGAAGAGGACGGUGACGGGGGAGAGGUGGACGACGAGGACGAGGACGAAGACGGCGACAACGACGACGACGAGCGCGACGGUGAACGUGUGUAAAAAGAAACCGCGAAGGUGGAAGAGAAAGAAGAAGAAAAAGGUCAGCAAUAGAAACAGUGAAAACAAUCAUCGCCUCAUUCAAUGGGAAGAUCAGAGGUUCCAUAGUCUACGAAAAGCGUACAACAAAGUUCCUGGAGUCAACUAAUGAUCAUCACAUCGUAUGCUUCCUGACUACUACAUCUCGACGUCAACAACUCUCGCUUCACUGCUCUCGCUCUGACUCGAGCGCAUUUUUCAAGGAUCGACGCAAGGAUCUUCGAGCGACGAAGACGUCACGAUUAUCAUCGCUGAUAAUCGCCCCGUAACAGCUGCGGAGCAUCGCGUAUUGCAAUCAUUCAUCGUCCUCGCGAGAGCAAUUUUUGCGCGGACCGCUCGAGCGUCCCGGUGGACAGCAAAGAAGCUAGAUACUAGAAGCUAGAACCUCCGGCUACAACUUUAAGCCCCUCGUGAAUAAUCGCUGGCGGCCUAGGGGCGAAAGUCCGGAUAUUCAUAACCGGCCGCGGUGGUUGUCGACCGGUGACUGCCGCAGCCGGCCGAAGGAUUGCAGAAAAUCCGUCCGGGCGACGAGAUAAAUUCCGUCGCGUGCGCCGCGUGGACGUGCAAAACAAAUUAGAAGAAAGGAAAAAGGAAAGAGUACGCAAAGAGAAAAAGAGAGACAGAGAGAGAAAUAAAAGGACGCAAGGACGGGGCACGAAAGCGCGAGGGGUGGUCGCCCGGGCUCGCUGAUAAACGCUGAGUAAUGGGGACGCAAAUUGCGCGCGAGGAGUACCGCGUGAGAAAUGGGUGCUCGAUGCAAAUUCUUCCGGCCGCGAGAGCGACGCGGCGACCGGCGCUACCGGGCGCUGUAAUUCCGUCUAAACGGUUCACCGCGACCGCGUGGACCACGGAGAGGUCCACGGAGCUGAUCCGUUCCUCGUCCUUUCCGUGAGGGUCCAAGGCGAGUAAUCCCUCGGGGGAACCGGCCAAUUAGUACCGCCGCUGGCGGAUCUGCGCUAAGCUAAUAUAACGGCGAGCGUCAACAGCGGAGAUCAUAGACAGAUUACGUUGCCGGGUAACAUCGAUAGCCCGCCCCGCGCAAGCCUGUCUUCGUCGGCGACCAAGAUAUACAAUCUGCAGGAUACCGCGUAGACGAAAUUGUAGACGACGGAUUACACGCUGGUACCGGUAGCUCGUAACCCCGGUUUCAUGGCGUGGCGAUAUCAAAUCUGCAUAGUCUUCAUGAUAUUACGAGCAGACGUGUAUAAACUUCGCGAUACCGCGCAUCGGGGUGAACAGUCUUCACAAUAGGGGGUGACUCGACUCGGCGAGCCCGUGAAGCGCGUCUCUCGGUCCCUCCGGAGUCCCUGCGGCGUCAAUUACAUCUCGGUGUUCCCGGCUUCGUUGCCGGAUUGAUGCGAACUCCUUCGCCCCAUCGCGGUGAUUGUGCGAUUAUUCGUGAAGCGGACGCUCCGCUUUAAACCAAGUUCUCGAGAGAUCCGACCGCUACGAGAGCGCACACUUUAAUCCUCCCGUGCACAUAGUGCUCAGCUGCUACAUAAUCUACCAUAAAUGCUAUAAAUAAAAAUUAUGUCUAAUCUUUAAUUUUCCAUUAUUGAAGGAGUUGAUACAAGCAGAAUCGCUAAGUGUCUUAAAGUGAUGUUUCAGUGGUGGUAAAACCUCGUAAGAUAAAGAAUGAGGGAAAGAGUGUCGAGUUCUUUAACAAGAAAUAAAAAUUGACGCAACGUGUGAAAAAUCUGCACAAUCCGCCAAAUUAUUACACGCGAGUACUAAUGUAACCAGUUCACCGUAUUAUCGGCAGAUGGCACAGAGUGAUCGCGUGCUCAGUGAUCCAGCAGGGUCCACUACUAAGAAGAAGCACUAGGAAGAAGCGAUUUGAGGAAAGUGCGGGUGUUUCGAAGCGAGGUAUCUCGCAGUCUGGCGUAUGAGGUAUUAAGGCAAAUCGCGUGAAACGGAUCCUCGGAUUUACACGCACGCGAUAGAAGGAACGCCAAGUGGCAAAAGUCUUCGAGUCGUCAGGUCGGACGAGCGCGGAAGCUUUGUGCGCGGAACUUUCUUCGGAGCUGACGCCGAAGAUCAAACAGAGGAUCAAAUAGUCACGAGGGGUGGGCUGGGCGCGCGCUCCUCGCGAAAGUUUCUCAAGAGGAGGGCGAGAACAAGGGAGUCGCGUGCUGCUCCUCUCGAGAGGCUGCGCGCCUCGCCGCGCCGCUGAUCGUCGCGGACAAUCGGCUGCUAGCCGUGAUCCGCCCUUUGUGAUACACCAUACCGUCCGCGAAGAAAGUAGAGGAGGAAAAGGAUGAUGGCGGGCACGGGGGUGGGCGGUGUCGGCGGUGCCGGGAUGCUGAGGACCAGGCGGAGGGACGUCAGCGUCAAGCCAAAUAGAAAACUCGACCGGAAGUCCUCGAGGGGGAUGAUUUACGAGAAUGAGGAGCUCAGACUGAGAACCAUUCACAUCAAUGCCGAGGUGGAGCAAGGUAAAGAACGAGGGUUGAAUAAAAUAAAACGCGUGGCAACUCGCACGGAUUUAUCGAUGGAUCGGAGGGGGCGGAGACACGCGGCGAGAAAGAAAGGAAGAAAAAUCGCAACGGAACGCGAAUGUGUCGUUAUGAAAGAACGUUAUAAUGUUGCGAUUAUUCUUCCUCUCGUUCGACUUGAUUGCGCACGGUUGAUGAGGAUGUUUGUGAUGGACGAUUCUCGAUAUAGACGGACAGAUUCGUUAUGGAUAUUUAGACACUCUGCCACGUGAAAAAUGAAGUCGAUAUCUCUGGACAAAUGUGGCUAUUAUCUGAAUAUAUUAAUGCAAGAAUAAUAUUAAUGUGGCAUUGUUAUCCUUUAUCCGUAAUCUAUUUGUUAAUUGGGCAAUUGUUCGUUUCUUUAUUCUUUCGCAGAAAAUAUUCCAAAGAAUAUUUUAAGCGAAUUUUACUAGCGCAGUGCGCUCUGAACGUUAUUUGAAUUAUUAAUUCAUCGUUAUAGACGAUUCACACGCGGGGCCAAAUUAAUUUCACAGGGACUCCCAUUACGUGUUAGUGGCAGGCCAGACCAACUAAUAAUGUUAAAUAUUUGAUCCUCUGGGAUAUGACUGUGCCAGAGCAAUCAAGGAUUAAUUUAACUACCGUGUUAAAGGAAUUUUUGAUAUAUCAUGGUAAGCGGAUUCAGGCUUUCAUUAUUCCAUUAAAACUUGGGAAACGUUUUGCGCAAUAAAACUGAAACUGAUGUUUCAACGUACACAAGGUGGUCCAUUUUCGCAAAAAUUCAAUCUUAAAUUUAUCAAUGAAUAUAUGAAUAAACAAAAAGCUUGGACAAUAUGAGCCACCCUUUAUUUAUUACAAGAGGCAGUCUCUUGAAGUGUACCGUGGAAUUAAGUAACUCCGAACUUUUAUUAUUCUCUGAGCCGGAGUUUAGUAAGUGCGGCAGGUGCAAUUAUGCUCGCCGAAAUUAAGGGAUGUUUUAAAUUAGGGACUCCGUUACUCUCGUGGAUCUCAAUAUCAUAGUUUUAAUUAUGAAUUCGUCAUUACGGGCAGCAUUACCCAACGGGCUGAAUAUAUUUCACACGUGAUAAUCAUAGGGAAUUUCAUUAUGCGGCCACAUGGCAGGUCUGCUAAACUGCAUCACGCCGCGGUCAUCUACAAAUAGACACGCGCUUAUAUACGAGAGUGAAGUCGCCGUAUACCAUACGAACUUGCUGCGGACUAUUUUCGAGGCCUGGCCUAUGCACAUUGGCUGAAUUUGUCCAGUCGGGUAAGCGAGUAGCACAGUUUCUAGUACCGGCGGACUCGAUCCGGCAGACUUGACUCAGUUGCUAAAUGCGCUUGAGCGUGCCCGAGAUGACGCCAAGCGCACUCGCGCUCCACUUUGCGAAAAAACGAUCUCUUCGAUCACCCAUCGCUUUGCUUUAGCGUGAAAAAACGGUGCCUCGUUAAUCCAGAAAAAAAGAGAAAAACUUGAUGAGUGUCUCGUUGCUAUCAAGAGUGAACGCGACAUCGUUGGCGUCUCCAUGUGACUGGCACUUAAAUUAAUAGAUAAAUUUGUAAAACAUGGAUGUAUAAUACAUACUGCAGUUAUAAAUGUAUAACUCCAGGAAGAAGAUUAUCUAAAAGUGUAGAACUGUGGAACAAUUAUUAAAUUGUCAAAGAGUCUAAUACGAAAAAGGAUUUAAUACAGAAGAAACCGUUAAUGAUGCUGAAUGCUUGAUUAGACGCAUUCUGUUAGAGAAGAUCGGUUAACGAUGGUAGGUACACGUAUUAUUACAUAAGUUUUGCUAGCUAUUACACAAAAGUUGACAUUGAAAAAUAAACAGAUAAGCUUACGUUGCGAAAGUAUGACGUUAAUGCAAAAAGUUUGAAUGACGGCAUGUGAAUAGUGAGAGAGUACGUGAUUUUCCCAAGAUUUAUUUAUCCGGGGAGCCAAGAAAAGCUUUGUUUUGGCAAAUAUUCUGGCGUGGCGUUUGUUCUCUCGAAACUCGAGGUCCAGAUGUCGACGCUGUACAGAAUCUAAAAGCUGCACGCCAACUUACUAUCCCGCGUUGAAACAUCUAAUCGUUCUCGAGUUUUUAACUGUCCGUCGUUAAACCGCAAGCGCACAGUAACUCAAAUGUAACAAGUAAUGUAAACAAGUAAUCUUAUAAUUACUGAUUCUGAAUAUAUCGCAAGCGAUAAUGUAUCAUUUUCGAUAAUAUUAUCAAACAGGAUUUAAAAUUAUUUUAUGGCUUCAUUUUUGACGCAAAUAAUUGUAUUAAUUAAAUAACACUUUAAAUUUAAAUUGAAUUGAAGAAAGCUGAAGAAGUACAACAAUCUCAUUUAAUAUAUCAAUAUAUAAAUAAUACGUAUGAAUUUUUAAUAUUUUUAAGUUCUUUUUAAUUUUGUAAUUAGAUGUUUUAAAACAUCUCAGGUAUAAAUUAUUAAUACGGUCGCAUUUUUGUUUAUAAAGCGAUUUAAUGAGAAGCACUUUAGCAUCAUUCAAAUGGCAAAUAAAGAAGACCUGCCUGACGUGCAUGUCGAAUCAAGAUAGCGUCUCACGAUAGUGUCUUUCGAUCCUCCUGACACAUUAUGCAGCCGGAUUAUCAUGGUGCAUUCAAGUGGCGUGCGAAGAAAAUCCUCCGCGAUUAGAAAAACUGACAGCAUGCGGAGAGGGUUCAAAGUGAGUUGUUGGAUCAAUCUACCGGUUCUUUGGACCCUCUUUUUCCCAUCUCAUGCUCACUCGAUGGGAAAAACCAGACGCCACCUACGUCAGGCACGGAGAUUAUUUUCAGUCCUUUUCCGAGCUCUUGAUAGAUUACAUUGCCAAGUAAAGAAACGAUGCCGGUCUAAUGAACAAUUUAUCAUCGCCCCAGUUUGUACCGACACCAAAUUUCUCUGAUAUCAAAAGUAUCACGUAUUACUACCGGAUUGCGGAACUGAUGAUCUCAAACACGAGAAGUGACAAUGUCAACAAACAGUAUCAAAUCGCUGAAAAUAAUUGUCUAGGGAAAAGGAUAAAUUCGAAAAUAUGUCUGAAGUAAUCGCUCAGGUUAAAAAACCUGACAUGUGACAUUUGUCUAAUCAGAUUAAUGAUAUUAAUCAUAUUUAACGUAUAUGUAUAGUACAGUAAAUAAUUUAAGACGAACGCAAACACAUCAAUUUGAAUGAUAUGUAGACCUGUCAAGGAAAAAAGAUCUUUCUCGCUCGAGAUUACAGCUUUUGCGUAAUAUCGCGGUCAAGGCGGAUAAUAAAACGACACAAUUUAUAAGAACGCCCCCGACGAUGUUUCUAAAAUAACAUCAAAAGGUACAAUGACGCUGAUCAGUGCCGGAGCAUUCGCGUGUCAUGCAGUCGGAUGCUUGAAAAGAAAAUCAGGAGAUUCAGAACCUAAAGAAAUUUUUUAAAUUUAUGUGCUUUCUAUAAAUCUUUCGCUUUAUAAAAUAAUUGCAAAAUCUGGUACUCUUUAGUAUCACGUAUUUACAUCAUUUUCAUUCCACACUUAAUUAUAACAACAAAUUUGAUCAUACUUAAAAUUCGUAAUAGAAAAAUAAUUUUCAUACAAUAUUUUAUCAAAACAUUAUCUCUCAUGCAAAUUGCUUCUCUGCAAUUCAAUAAACUCUGAUUUCGGAGAAGAAAUAUUCCAUCUUGACUGCUACGUACGUGUCAUCGUCCCAUCGUCAUAUGACACGGUCCUGGCAUCGCGGGACCACGAGGAACUACAAAAGAUUUAAAUACUCACGAGGGCGAGAAAGAGAAAGACCGAGAGACAGAGGGAGACGGAAUGACCUGUGGCGGUGGUUUCGUGACGCGCGUGAUGAAGAAGCGGACCAAGAAGAAGCAGCUCGCGGUAGGGAUGAAGACCGCGGCAGUGAUGUAGCCACGCGCCAACUAGUUUCGCCCGGCGAUUCAAAAGGACCGGCACGCAUUUCGCGGCCCACGGAACCUGUCAAACUCGCAACUUGUCGUUCCGUUUAGUGCGAUUCCGGAAGCGGGAAGCGGGUACGGAACCGGCCGGAUGAUGCUCGCGGCUCGAGGCCUCGAAGGUGGUGGCACGUCGAUCCGCGGCGUCGCGACGGCGACGACGUGUCGCGCGGAGACGCGCAUCCCGUAGUUACGUAACGAAAAAGAGAAAGAUGUGGAAGCGGGGAUUGAUGCGGAAUUUACAUGGUGCUCGUGCAAAGUGCGUAGCAAACUGCACGGGAAAAUAUUAAGACGGGAUAAUUCAGUUUACGCAAAUUAACGGCUAAUGUAAUCUGCCGAUUUCGUGAAAAUCUCUGUUGCGGCUGUUAAUAGCGGGAAUCUUGGCGGUGGUGCUAUGAUAGACCAAAAUAA